GACGAACGCUGGCGGCGUGCCUAAUACAUGCAAGUCGGACGAAGUUGCGAACGGGUGGGUACAGCGUAGGUACCUACCUAGUAGAGGGGGGUAACUAUUGGAAACGAUAGCUAAUACCUCAUACUAGUAGAUGGCCCUGCGUGGUAUUAGCUAGUAGGUAGGGUAAUGGACGAACUAGGCAACGAUACAUAGCCGACCUGGGAGGGUGGUCGGCCACACUGGGAAUGGGACACGGCCCAGACGCCUAAGGGAGGCAGCAGUAUGAAAUCUUCGGGAAUGGGGGGAACCCUGACCGAGCAACGCCGCGGGAGUGAAGAAGGUUUUCGGAUCGUAAAGCUCUGUUGUUAAGGAAGCGGUACUUAACCAGAAAGGGACGGCUAACUACGUGCCAGCAGCCGCGGUAAUUC
rnacentral:rRNA from 1 species